AUACGUAGGUGACAAGCGUUAUCCGGAUUUACUGGGCGUAAAGGGCGUGUAGGCGGUCUUGCAAGUCAGAAGUGAAAUUCCUGAGCUCAACUCGGGCGCUGCUUCUGAAACUGCAGGACUUGAGUGCUGGAGGGGAUAGCGGAAUUCCUAGUGGAGCGGUAAAAUGCGCAGAUAUUAGGAAGAACACCGGUGGCGAAGGCGGAUAUCUGGGCAGUAAAUGGAGUUUAGGCGCGCAAGCGUGGAGACCAAACAGAAUUAUAUACCCUGAUAGUCCACGCUGUGAACGAUGAAUACUAGGUGUAGGGAGUAUCGACUCCCUCUGUGCCGCAGUUAACACAAUAAGUAUUCCGCCUGGGGAGUUCGGCAGCAAGGUUGAAACUCAAAGGAAGUGUCGGGG
rnacentral:rRNA from 1 species